GGAUGUGAGGGCGAUCUGGCUGCGACAUCUGUCACCCCAUUGAUCGCCAGGGUUGAUUCGGCUGAUCUGGCUGGCUAGGCGGGUGUCCCCCUCCUCCCUCACCGAUCCAUGUGCGUCCCUUCCGAAGCUGCGCGCUCGGUCGAAAGGAAGACCUCCCCCCCCCCCCCCCCAGGAGAGGACCAGUCUUCGGUCAAGGGUAUACGAGUAGCUGCGCUCCCCUGCUAGAACCUCCAAACAAGCUCUCAAAGUGAGAGAGACACAUUGAUUGGUUGCCUCAUGCACUCGCCCUGACCAGGGCCCAGGU
rnacentral:snRNA from 1 species